GGGGGCGAAACUGGUUUCGACGGGGAUCGCAGAAGCAGAAUAAGCGAGCCGCAGCCCGGACUGCGUAAUAACCGGAACCUUAAACAAUAACUGAGAACAAUAAUUUUGUUCCCGUCGCUGCUUAAGCAGUGACCGUCCGACUCCGGAGGCCCACGACCGGUACUCGGGCGUCAUCAGCGUGGGGAACCAGCUUGCCUAAGCUUUGCGGCAAGUGGGAUUUAUGAAGCUACUAAGGUGCUGACCCUGCCAUUGGGGGCUUCACUAAGGGAAUGUUAAUUCACUGGCUACGCUCGUAGAAGGUUCUGUGGAUGGGUUUUCGGACGGGAGUUCGACUCUCCCCGCCUCCACCA
rnacentral:tmRNA from 1 species